rnacentral:rRNA from 1 species
AUUGAACGCUGGCGGCAGGCUUAACACAUGCAAGUCGAGCGGAGUGAUGGUGCUUGCACUAUCACUUAGCGGCGGACGGGUGAGUAAUGCUUAGGAAUCUGCCUAUUAGUGGGGGACAACAUCUCGAAAGGGAUGCUAAUACCGCAUACGUCCUACGGGAGAAAGCAGGGGAUCACUUGUGACCUUGCGCUAAUAGAUGAGCCUAAGUCGGAUUAGCUAGUUGGUGGGGUAAAGGCCUACCAAGGCGACGAUCUGUAGCGGGUCUGAGGGGAUGAUCCGCCACACUGGGACUGAGACACGGCUCAGACUCCUACGGGAGGCAGCAGUGGGGAAUAUUGGACAAUGGGGGGAACCCUGAUCCAGCCAUGCCGCGUGUGUGAAGAAGGCCUUAUGGUUGUAAAGCACUUUAAGCGAGGAGGAGGCUCUUUUGGUUAAUACCCAAGAUGAGUGGACGUUACUCGCAGAAUAAGCACCGGCUAACUCUGUGCCAGCAGCCGCCGUAACAC